ACACGGGUAGCCGGCCUGAGAGGGCGACCGGCCACACUGGGACUGAGACACGGCCCAGACUCCUACGGGAGGCAGCAGUGGGGAAUAUUGCACAAUGGGCGGAAGCCUGAUGCAGCGACGCCGCGUGAGGGAUGACGGCCUUCGGGUUGUAAACCUCUUUCAGCAGGGACGAAGCGUAAGUGACGGUACCUGCAGAAGAAGCACCGGCCAACUACGUGCCAGCAGCCGCGGUAAGACGUAGGGUGCGAGCGUUGUCCGGAUUUAUUGGGCGUAAAGAGCUCGUAGGCGGCUUGUCGCGUCGACCGUGAAAACUUGGGGCUCAACCCCAAGCCUGCGGUCGAUACGGGCAGGCUAGAGUUCGGUAGGGGAGACUGGAAUUCCUGGUGUAGCGGUGAAAUGCGCAGAUAUCAGGAGGAACACCGGUGGCGAAGGCGGGUCUCUGGGCCGAUACUGACGCUGAGGAGCGAAAGCGUGGGGAGCGAACAGGAUUAGAUACCCUGGUAGUCCACGCUGUAAACGUUGGGCGCUAGGUGUGGGGGGCCUCUCCGGUUUCCUGUGCCGCAGCUAACGCAUUAAGCGCCCCGCCUGGGGAGUACGG
rnacentral:rRNA from 1 species